AUUGAACGCUGGCGGCAGGCUUAACACAUGCAAGUCGAGCGGGGACUUCGGUCCUAGCGGCGAACGGGUGAGGAAUACUUGGGAAUCUGCCCAGUAGCGGGGGAUAACGUUUCGAAAGGAACGCUAAUACCGCAUACGCCCUACGGGGGAAAGGGGGGGAUCUUCGGACCUCUCACUAUUGGAUGAGCCCAAGUCGGAUUAGCUAGUUGGUGGGGUAAAGGCCUACCAAGGCGACGAUCCGUAGCUGGUCUGAGAGGAUGAUCAGCCACACUGGAACGGAGACACGGUCCAGACUCCUACGGGAGGCAGCAGUGGGGAAUAUUGGACAAUGGGCGAAAGCCUGAUCCAGCCAUGCCGGGUGUGUGAAGAAGGCCUUCGGGUUGUAAAGCACUUUAAGCGAGGAGGAAUGGCUCUUGGUUAAUAACCUUGAGCAGUGACGUUACUCGCAGAAUAAGCACCGGCUAACUCUGUGCCAGCCGCCGCCGUAACAC
rnacentral:rRNA from 1 species